rnacentral:rRNA from 1 species
GAUGGACGCUGGCGGCGUGCUUAACACAUGCAAGUCGAACGAAACACCUUAUUUGAUUUUCUUCGGAACUGAAGAUUUGGUGAUUGAGUGGCGGACGGGUGAGUAACGCGUGGGUAACCUGCCCUGUACAGGGGGAUAACAGUCAGAAAUGACUGCUAAUACCGCAUAAGACCACAGCACCGCAUGGUGCAGGGGUAAAAACUCCGGUGGUACAGGAUGGACCCGCGUCUGAUUAGCUGGUUGGUGAGGUAACGGCUCACCAAGGCGACGAUCAGUAGCCGGCUUGAGAGAGUGAACGGCCACAUUGGGACUGAGACACGGCCCAAACUCCUACGGGAGGCAGCAGUGGGGAAUAUUGCACAAUGGGGGAAACCCUGAUGCAGCGACGCCGCGUGAGUGAAGAAGUAUUUCGGUAUGUAAAGCUCUAUCAGCAGGGAAGAAAAUGACGGUACCUGACGAAGAAGCCCCGGCUAACUACGUG